AACGAACGCUGGCGGCAUGCCUAACACAUGCAAGUCGAACGAGACCUUCGGGUCUAGUGGCGCACGGGUGCGUAACGCGUGGGAACCUGCCCUUAGGUUCGGAAUAACUCCCCGAAAGGGGUGCUAAUACCGGAUAAUGUCUUCGGACCAAAGAUUUAUGGCCUUUGGAUGGGCCCGCGUUGGAUUAGCCAGUUGGUAGGGUAAAAGCCUACCAAGGCGACGAUCCAUAGCUGGUCUGAGAGGAUGAUCAGCCACACUGGGACUGAGACACGGCCCAGACUCCUACGGGAGGCAGCAGUGGGGAAUAUUGGACAAUGGGCGAAAGCCUGAUCCAGCAAUGCCGCGUGAGUGAUGAAGGCCUUAGGGUUGUAAAGCUCUUUUACCCGGGAUGAUAAUGACAGUACCGGGAGAAUAAGCUCCGGCUAACUCCGUG
rnacentral:rRNA from 1 species